GGCUGCCCCCUUGGCUGGCUCUGACCUGGGGCCCAAGUCCCCAGGCUCUAAAGCUGCAACUCAGCCAGGCCUGCGGCUUCCCCUCCCCGUGGACUUGGAGGCAGGGACCAGCUCAGUCCGGGAGAGAGGCCUCUCUGGGCUGCCUGCACGCACGCAAUCGCUCUGGAGCGUCUGCUGCCUUAUCUUCCAGCUGUAGACUCUGGAGCCAGAUGCCUGGGGUCAAACCCCAAGGCCCUGCUUACCAGUCACAAGAUCACAGGAAAGUCACUUCCGCUUUCUGGGCCUUACUUGGUGUUCUCAUCUGUAAAAUGGGGAAGUGACAGCUCCUUCCUCAUGGUGUGGCCAUGAGGAUUAACACUCAGAACGGGGGCUGGCAGUGAAAACGCACCACGUGGCAUCAGCUGUCGUCAUCUGCACCACCGUCAUCGUCCUCACGGUCACCUCCAGUACCCUGGACGGUGGGUGCAGCCCUUUGGGGCUCUGGAGUAACUUUAGAGGACACGAAGACGUAUCUGGCUUCAAGGACGUUGGUUUCGUCUUUCCUCGCGCUCUCCGGCAGCAGGAGUAUGCGAGGCGCUGACAGCUGCUGCCUGCUGAGGGCUCGCUGCGUGCCAGGCACCGCGCAAGGACUGCGCCGGCUCCGUCCUGUGCAGGACGCGCUGGUAUCACUGUUCCUGUACCUCACACCGGAAACCAAGCCACAGAGGGGCGAAGUAGCCCGCUUCCCAAGUGCACCAGUAGGGCUCAGCGGUGCAGGCAAUGAGGCCGAGCCUGGCCAAUUUACGAGGAAGAGGAAUCUACUGGAAGGAUGUCGGGUACUCAUGGAAUCCUCGGGAAGACUGGAGACCAGGCUCAGAAACACAGGAGCUGGUCCCUAACGGGCACCUUGCAACCCAAAUUCCAUUACAGCACCUGCCUCUGGAGAAGCAGCUGUGACAGCGAGGAUGUGGAUACAGAGCAGCCGGAACCGUCAGUUAUUGCUGUCUGGAUCGGAACUUGACGCCACUUCAGAAACCUGUCUGGCGGCGUCUGCUCAAGCCCAAGCUGCAGAUCCCCUGCGACCCAGCAAAUUCUCUUCUCGGCAGAUGCCCCCCGAAAUCCUUGCCCUGCCCACAGAAGCCGUGUUCACGGAAGCCUUACUCAUCGCAGCCCAAACCGGCAACCUUCCAAAUGGCCGCCAACAGGAGGAUGGAUAAGCACAUGACAGGAAGUUCGUACAACGCAAUAGCUCACAGCUGCUGCUAAACACAAGGCUUGGGACUCCUGCCUCUCCAUUUCUUCCUCUGCAUCCUGGGAGGAGGGGGUGACCGUCAUGCUAGUUCCAUCUGCUGAGAGACCUCGAAAUCUGUUUCUGUCCUUGGUUUUUGAAAAGUGAGGACAACUGUGAUUCCUUGCAGAGGACCGGCAGGUUUGGAGCUCGGAGGACCUCGAAUAGCCAAGUUGGAAGAGGCACAGCGGGUGAAGAACCUGAGCCCCAAGAUGGCAAGUGAGUGGCCCAGGUCACCCAGUGAGUGGUGGACCAGAACCUGCUCAAAACCGUGAUUUUAACUGUCCCCAACAGCUGGUCAUGCGAUGGCUUCGUCCUCCUCCUUCAAAGACCCACCUCCCUGCGGACUGGAACCCCUAGUGCAGCUCCUGUUGGAACAGACAUUGAGCACUGGCCUCCUUUCUUGUCUGAGGGUCGCCAAAGAUGCAAACGAGAACCACAUUCAAGAAUUCCUCCACCCACAGUCUGGAUGGGAACCAUAUCCCAGCCAGAGGGAGCGGAAGGGAACUCAGGCCUCAUCAGCGGCGCCCCCGGGGCCCAGGCAAAACACAUUCCUAAAGGGCUCAGACUGGGAGUCUGGGAAUAAAGAGAUGGAAAAGUCCCUGAUCUCAGGGCGGCACUGUCGGCCGAGUGUCAGUCCAUCCUCUUUUGUGGGCCCCGCCAUCCUGGACACCAGACUGAGGCGUGGCCAGCGUGCGGUUAGGCCUGUCCUCAAAGGAAGCUGUCUUGGCAGUGGAUGAGAGAAGUUCUGGCAAAACCCAGACUUGGUGCCCUCCCUUAAGUCUUAAAUGGGACUUCUUAUGUGAUGAUUUAGUAGCUAAUCCACUCAGCUGAGACCCUGGGCCUGCUGGGUGCCUGGAGGGAAGGCAAGCAAGGAGGAUCUUGGUUUUGGCCACUCGGCCCAAGUUCAAUGACCCCUGGGAGAUUGUGCAACAGACACAUAACAGGCCCACCCACAGGUCUCUCCAGCACACCGCCCCGAGAGGUCCUCCCACAUCUUUGCUUUGUUUGGUCUCAGCCCUGCGAUUCCACUUUCCAAAUGCCUCGAGCCCACCGUGUGACUGCUCUUCCCGUAGGACCACAUGCCUUGGCCAGCACACAGAACACCCCCCUGCGCUUUCUGCCCUGGGUUUCCUGGUCUCACUGCUGCCUGUGUCCUGUGAAACAGCACAGGGAUAGAUGGCGUCCGCACCAGCUUCUCGCCAGUCGUACAGCGAGGAGCUGACAGGGAGGCCCAGGGGCAGGGGCCACUGUCCCAAACACAGCCACGGGGUGUGAACACCUUGCAACUCAGGAAUCACCUCCCCGAUGAAGCCAGGCCUGCGGGGGCGGGCGUGGGGCUGGAGGAUGAGCCUGACAGGGCAGGUUCCCCGCCUCUGACGCUCCUGGUCCUUGGGCUGAGGCUGGCACACAGCGAAGGAACGAGCCCACAGCUCUGGGGACACCUUCAGCGCCACACAAGCAAGUCAGCACAAGGGAAGCAGGUCUUCACCGGGAGCAGGAGGUCAGGGAGGUUCAAGGACAAGGGUGGCAUCCGAGUGACCCUUGCAGGGAUGUGGACGUGAGCGCCAAGAGUCCAGCGAAGGGAAAGACGGCUGUGGCGUUGGGCCGCGCGCAGCGGCCCGCGUCCCUGUCCUGCCGCGCUCUCUGGGUCUUCCUGUCCUCCUCUGUCUCUGUCUCUCUCCUCCUCCCUCUCGGCCCUCUCUUUGUACAUCUGCCCAGUGUCACCAGCUGACUUGCUCUGCGUUCCCCGGUUUCGCACCCCCAGCAGCCUGCCGGGCCACGCCCAGUGCCCAGGGCCUGGAGUCCUUCCCUGGUGCCCCUCUAGCUACAGGACACCGCCUGCCAGGGAACCCAGGGAAACGAGUGACUGCCAGCUGUACUCUAGCCAGGGUCCUAAACUCAAGAGAAUUAGGACUUCAGAGAGAAUCUAAUCCAACACUUACUAGAAAACUAUUAAGGUAUAAUUUACAUACAGUCAGAUGCAUACAGCUUCGGGGGCAGGGUAGAGCUCAGUGGUGGAGCACGUGUUUAGUAGACACCAGGUCCUGGGUUCAAUCCCCAGUGCCUCUAUUAAGAAAAAAUAAUAAAUAAGUAAAUAAAUAAACUUAAUUACUCCCCCCCAAAAUAAACAAGGAUAAAAUACUAAGCUUAGGGAAAAUAAGUUACAUAAAGAUGCACGCAGCUUCAGUGUAUGGCUUGAUGGCUUUUACAUAUGAGCACAUGCAUGUCACUACCAUCCAGAUCGAGACAUGAAACAUAUCUAGCUCCUCGGAAAGCUCCUUCAUGUCCUUCCCAGUUAGCUCCCACCUUUCUGAGAGCAACCACUAUUCUGAAUCUUUCAUAGUUUUGUUAACCCAUCCCAGAAAUUCCUUUAAGUGGAAUCAUACAAUAUGUAUCUUUUGAAUCUGGCUUAUUCUGCUCAGCAGAAUGUCUAUGAGAGUCGUCUAUAUUGCUGUAUGUAAUAGCAGUUCACUCCUUUUGUCUUUGAGUUGCUGAGAAGUAUUCUGUUACAUGUAUGGAUAUAUCGCAAUAGGUUUAUUUAUUCACCAGUGGAUGGACAUUUAGGUUGUUUCCAGUUUUUAGCUGUUAUGAAUAAAGAUGCU